UUGAACGGACUCCUUUGUUGGGAAAAAAAAAAAAUAAUAAUGGGACUUCACACAGCCUAGGUCCUGCUAUUAGUGUUGACACAGGCCUGUUAGGUUAAGUAAGGUUAGGAUAGGAUAGGGAAGGGUAAGGUAGGUUAGGUUAGGUAAGGAUAGGGUAAGGUAGGUUAGGUUAGGUUAGGUUAAGUUAGGUAAGGAUAGGGUAAGGUAGGUUAGGUUAGGUAAGGUUAGGUAAGGAUAGGGAAGGGUAGGGUAAGGUAGGUUAGGUUAGG